rnacentral:rRNA from 1 species
ACAUACGACCACAGGAUCCUGAGAGCAAGGCUUCCCGUCCGCUCAGCCAUAUUUAAGCAGGAUACCGGCGGAUUAGUACUCGAGUUCGUGAGAAUCGUGGAAUCCCCGCUGUUGUAUGUU